UAUGUUCUUUUUCAAUAUCAUUUUAGGUACCCAUUCUGUGCAUGAAUACUUUUGGAAGCAGUCCAGUUGAAACUGGCACACUGCCCCCAAUGCCCACUUGUUGAGCGGGAACAGAGUGAUAAUGGACUUGAUCGGAUAAUGAUGGUAUUGUUCCAAUGGUUGGCCUCAUUCUCCAAAGCAUUGAGAAUCUUGUCAGGAUUGCUUCUAUUUUCCAUGAAGGGUAAAAGGAAGGUGACUCUCCCUAUCUCCUACACUGGCUGCCAUGUGGCUGUGACAUAAGCUGAAGUGGACAGUGGAGGAGUGAGCCGAACAUACACGAACAGCAUGCUGGAGAAAUAUAUCAAAUUCAACAAGGAGACAAGUGGAGAUCUAGACAAAGAUGUUUCCAGGUGGGAAGAGGAAGAAGGGAAGCAAACUUCCUGAUACUGAAAGGGAGAUUGAAAAGGGAAAAGAAGAAAAGAACUAGCAUCUAAGAGGAAGGAUGCCCAUCGAUUGUGCAAUAACAGAACAAACUGUGGUACGUCAAUGUACCAUACAAGAUGACAAAAAAGAUGACUUCAGGGAAUGCUGGGCAAUAUGAGCUGAUGGAAAGUGAGCAGAACAAGCAAAAUGGUUUCUAAAAGGACCACAGCAUUGAAAAGAAAACAAGGUUUAAAGCUAUAAGAACUCUCAUCAGUGUAGGGACCGCCCAUGCCUCCAGAAGACCCCUGAUAAAGCAUGUCGCCUCCUUCCCAACAAACAAGGGAUAAACUUAAUGUUCAGAAAGACACAUACAUUUAUGUAUAAGGCCCUUGUUUUUCUGGCCUAAAAUGAUAUGAUACAACGAUGUUUCUUCCCUUCUUUUUUUCAGCUUUUGAUUAGGGAGAGUUAGGGAGAAGGGGCUAGCAAGAGUAAUGCCAAAAAGAAAAAAAGGACCAUUGAAAUAUUUUAGAAAAUACACAGAAAGGAAAUGAAGGAAGUUGGGGAGGAAGCAGAGAUAAGCAGAACAAAGAAACCAAAGGCCGUUUGACCACUUGUAAUAUGUAUCCUAGUCACACACACACACACACACACACACACACACACACACACACACACACACACAUAGAUAUGGAUUGAAUUAGAUGGGAACUGCAGUGCCUCCUGACUCAUAAUCUGUACAAGAGACAGUUUCAAAUAGAAAAAAUGAAAUGAGCUUGUACAAGGAAAAUUUUCUGAGUGUCCCCUUAAAUAUAUUUGUACAUCUUGCUCUUUGUUUUCUGAAUCCUUGAGGUAAUAAUUGUGUGUGUGUGUGUGUGUGU
rnacentral:lncRNA from 1 species